rnacentral:rRNA from 1 species
GUCUAUGGCCAUUCCACCCUGAAUGCACCUGCUCCUGUCUGAUCUGGAAGCUAAGCAGGGUCGGGUCUGGUUAGCACUUAGCUGGGAGACCACUCAAGAUACCAGGUGCUGUAGGCU